GGGGAAUUAGCUCAAAUGGCAGAGCGCUCGCUUAGCACGCACUGCCUAGCAUGCGAGAGGCAGGGAGAUCGAUACUCCCAUUCUCCA